AACGAACGCUGGCGGCGUGCUUAACACAUGCAAGUCAAGGAGAAAGUCUCUUCGGGGGCGAGUAAACUGGCGCACGGGUGAGUAACGCGUGAGGAACCUGCCCAUAUGUCUGGGAUAACCUGCUGAAAAGCGGGCUAAUACUGGAUAUAUUGUUUACCGCAUGGUGGACAAGGAAAGUUGGUGUAAGCUAACGCAUAUGGAUGGUCUCGCGUCUGAUUAGCUAGUUGGUGGGGUAAAGGCUCACCAAGGCUACGACCAGUAGCCGGUCUGAGAGGGUGGCCGGCCACACUGGGACUGAGACACGGCCCAGACUCCUACGGGAGGCAGCAGUGGGGAAUUUUGCACAAUGGGGGCAACCCUGAUGCAGCGACGCCGCGUGAACGAGGAAGGCCUUCGGGUCGUAAAGUUCUUUCGACGGGGAAGAAAUGUUAUACGAGUAACUGCGUAUAAUUUGACGGUACCUGUAGAAGCAGCCCCGGCUAACUCCGUG
rnacentral:rRNA from 1 species